GCACUGCUGACGAAUCCUAAACAGGACGAAACAGCUUUCCAGUGC
rnacentral:hammerhead_ribozyme from 1 species